CCUACGGGUGGCAGCAGUGGGGAAUAUUGGGCAAUGGGCGCAAGCCUGACCCAGCAACGCCGCGUGAAGGAUGAAGGUUUUCGGAUUGUAAACUUCUGUCGCGAGGGACGAAGAAUGACGGUACCUCGUAAGAAAGCCACGGCUAACUACGUGCCAGCAGCCGCGGUAAUACGUAGGUGGCAAGCGUUAUCCGGAAUGACUGGGCGUAAGGGGUGCGUAGGUGGUUUAGUAAGUUGGCGGUGGAAUUCCGGGGCUCAACCUCGGCGCUACCGCCAAAACUAUUAGACUAGAGUGCAGGAGGGGUAAGUGGAAUUCCUAGUGUAGCGGUGGAAUGCGUAGAUAUUAGGAGGAACAUCAGGGGCGAAGGCGACUUACUGGACUGUAACUGACACUGAGGCACGAAAGCGUGGGGAGCAAACAGGAUUAGAUACCCUAGUAGUC
rnacentral:rRNA from 1 species